AGCUGAUGUGGUGCAAUGGUGAAAGUGCCGGACUAGGACCUGGGAGACUGGGGUUCAAAUCCCCACUUGGCUA